CCUACGGGGGGCACCAGUGGGGAAUAUUGGACAAUGGGCGAAGGCCUGAUCCAGCAAUGCCGCAUGUGUGAAGAAGGUCUUCGGAUUGUAAAGCACUUUCGACGGGGACGAUGAUGACGGUACCCGUAGAAGAAGCCCCGGCUAGAUUCGUGCCAGCAGCCGCGGUAAUACGAAGGGGGCUAGCGUUGCUCGGAAUGACUGGGCGUAAAGGGCGCGUAGGCGGUUUAUGCAGUCAGAUGUGAAAUCCCCGAGCUUAACCUGGGAACUGCAUUUGAGACGCAUAGACUAGAGGUCGAGAGAGGGUUGUGGAAUUCCCAGUGUAGAGGUGAAAUUCGUAGAUAUUGGGAAGAACCCCGGUGGCGAAGGCGGCAACCUGGCUCGAUACUGACGCUGAGGCGCGAAAGCGUGGGGAGCAAACAGGAUUAGAUACCCGAGUAGUC
rnacentral:rRNA from 1 species